rnacentral:rRNA from 1 species
AGAGUUUGAUCCUGGCUCAGAUUGAACGCUGGCGGCAUGCUUUACACAUGCAAGUCGAACGGCAGCACGGGCUUCGGCCUGGUGGCGAGUGGCGAACGGGUGAGUAAUGCAUCGGAACGUGCCCAUUUGUGGGGGAUAACGCGGCGAAAGUCGCGCUAAUACCGCAUACGCCCUGAGGGGGAAAGCGGGGGAUUCUUCGGAACCUCGCGCAAUUGGAGCGGCCGAUGUCAGAUUAGCUAGUUGGUAGGGUAAAGGCCUACCAAGGCGACGAUCUGUAGCGGGUCUGAGAGGAUGAUCCGCCACACUGGGACUGAGACACGGCCCAGACUCCUACGGGAGGCAGCAGUGGGGAAUUUUGGACAAUGGGCGCAAGCCUGAUCCAGCCAUGCCGCGUGAGUGAAGAAGGCCUUCGGGUUGUAAAGCUCUUUCGGUCGGGAAGAAAUCGGCGACUCUAACAUAGUCGCUGGAUGACGGUACCGGACUAAGAAGCACCGGCUAACUACGUGCCAGCAGCCGCGGUAAUACGUAGGGUGCGAGCGUUAAUCGGAAUUACUGGGCGUAAAGCGUGCGCAGGCGGUUUUGUAAGACAGAUGUGAAAUCCCCGGGCUUAACCUGGGAACUGCGUUUGUGACUGCAAGGCUAGAGUACGGCAGAGGGGGGUGGAAUUCCUGGUGUAGCAGUGAAAUGCGUAGAUAUCAGGAGGAACACC